rnacentral:rRNA from 1 species
GAUGUACGCUGGCCGCUUUCCUAGUACAUGCUACUCGUGUGAAGCUACUAGAAGCUUGCUUUUCUGAUUUUUGCGUCGAACGGGUGAUUAACACGUGGCUAACCUACCUAUAAGACUCGGAUAACUUCGUGGAACCGGAGCUAGUACCGGAUAAUGUUUUGAACCGCAUGGUUCUAAAGUGAAAUACGGUCUUGCUAUCACUUAUAUAUGGAUCCGCGCUGCAUUAGCUAGUUGGUAAGGUAACGGCUUACCAAGGCAACGAUGCAUAGCCGACCUGAGAGGGUGAUCGGCAACACUGGAACUGAGACACGGUCCAGACUCCUACGGGAGGCAGCACUAGGGAAUCUUACGCAAUGGGCGAAAGCCCGACGGAGCAACGCCGCGUGAGUGCUGAACCUUUUAGGAUCCUAAAACUCUGUUAUAAGGGAAGAACAUAUCUGUAAGUAACUGUGCCAAUCUUGAGGAUACCUAAUCAGAGAGCUACGGCUAACUACGUG